rnacentral:sRNA from 1 species
GCUGGGCAUGGUGGCACAUGUCUGUAAUCCCAGGGCUCUGGAGGCUGAGACAGGAGGAUUGCGAGUUCAAAGCCAGCCUCAGCAAUGGUGAGGUGCUAAGCAACUCCGUGAGAUCCUGUUUCUA